rnacentral:lncRNA from 1 species
AGGCUUUCCAACAUCCAGCACAUGCGAGGGAACCCUGGUCAAUCAGGGUUUUCAUUCCCAUGUUGAAAACCUUAUCCCUGAGUAAGACAGACCAAUAAUUCAUUGCUCAGGAACUGUGCCUGUCCUGUAUGAGCUCCAGGCUCACAGGAGAAGCCCAGCAAUAUCCUGUCAAGAAUUCAAGCCAUUCAGAGUACCUUCAGGACCUUGGAGAGCUCCCAGGGUGAGUCUUGAAAGCUGCUGUCCCUGCAACUAAAGCCUUUCUCUCGUCUUGGCAAGUAAGCUCUGCUUUUCCAAAGGAACUGGCUUACUGUUAAAUGGCUCUCUUCUUAGCUGCAGUCCUUACUUGGCUUCUUUAAAUAAAUAAAUAAAUCCAUAUGGAUAUAAAGCUGCAAAUCUACUUCCCCCUACUCAGAGCAAGUCCCACUGUAUUCACUGGUUCUUAUAGCUGAAGCAACACCAAACUGUUAGUUGACCAAAUGAAUCAAAAUGCCCUUUCUGCAGUUUCUCAUACCCUCAUAUGCUUGUUAGGGCUUAAAAUCCAGAUUAAAUGUGUGGUUGAAAGGUGGGAGAAGGAGAGAUACGCCUCCUUCUCUGCCCACCUCUACCGCUGAAAGCAUGAUCUUAAGGACUGCUGCUGCUGCCCAGGAGGACUGCCUGCUGAGGGUCCGAAGGGCCCUGCCCUUGCCUCUUUCCACCUGGCUUGGGGCGGGGCUUGACAGGCCCCACAAGUACUGUGGCUGCUGCUCAGCAGUGAGGGCUCCUCUUUUAAAUUGUUUUUUCUCUGUGUUGUUUUAAAUUAUACCAUCUUGGCUGUGAGCCCUGGGAAACCUGCACCCUGCCUUGCUGGCCUUUUCCCAUCUGGCCUGGGAGAGUGGAGUGUGGACUGACUCCAGCUACAGAAACUGAGGCUGUUGAACAGAUUCUUGGGCUGGAGUAUUGUUUAUGGGGGGUUGAGAGAGCUUGUUGCUGUUAUUGGUAUUAUUGCUGUUGUAUCUUUAGUCUUAGAUCUUACGAUUUAUGUGGAAAUUGUUUCCAUUUGGUUGUGUACAUUUUGAUGUGUUUUAUUUAUUGUUUAUGACUUCUGCUAUGUUUAUAAUUAUCUAAAUCUUGUCAUGUUGUGAGCUGCCUUGAGCAUAGUUUCAACUAUGGAAAGGCUGCAUACAAAUAAAACGAUGAUGAUGAUGAUGAUGAUGAUUGUGCCAGGCCCCCAAAUCAGUUUGGGGGCAGAUCUGAGUUGGGUUGCAUCACGACCAUUCUGAAGCACCAGAUUGGGCCCAAAAUCACAUCAGGGAUGCCAUGCACAUCCUUAGUUUGAAUAUAUGGUGUGGAUAUGACCUUGAAUAAUUCUCUUAAUCCCCCUGCCCCAUAGCACAGGUGAGAUGUUACUCUACUGAACCACAUGCAUAGGUCAGUGAUGGAUUUGCACAUAUUCAUUCAUUCAGGGACGUUGCUGGUGCUGUGGUCUAAACCACUGAGCCUCUUGGACUUGCCAAUCGGAAGGUUGGCAGUUCGAAUCCCUGCAACGGGGUGAGCUGCCAUUGCUCUGCCCCAGCUCCUGCCAACCUAGCAGUUCAAAAGCACACAAGUGCAAGCAGAUAAAUAGGUACUGCUGUGGCAGGAAGGUAAACAAUGUUUCCGUGCACACUGGUUUCUGUCACAGUCCUCUGUGCACCAGAAGCAGUUUAGUCCUGCUGGCCACGUGACCUGGAAAGCUGUCUGUGGACAAACGCUGGCUCCCUCGGCCUGAAAGCGAUAUGAGUACUGCAACCCCAUAGUCGCUUUUGACUGGACUUAACCGUCCAGGGGUCCUUUGCCUUUUACCUUAUUCAUUCAUUCAUCAUUUUAUGUGUAUGUCGCCUUUCCACAGUUAAAUGCUCAAGGUGGCUUACAAUAUGAAGAGAUUUACAUAAUUACAAACAUAGCAAAGUAGACAUAAAAAUAAAUAAAACACAUCAAAAACUACAUACCCAAACUGAACAAUUUCCACAUAAAAAUAAAGAUACAAAAGAUUAAUAUCAGUAACAGCAGCAAAAAAUCCCAAGAAAACUUUUCCCCAAAUACCCCAGUCCUCCUGGGCAGCAGUGGCAGUCAGGCCCCGCCUUAGGCCAGGUGGAGAGAGGCAGGAACAGAGCCCUCAGGCCUUCAGCAGCAUGCACAGAAUUAGUCCCCCUCUCCUGCUGCCAAGGGACCCACACGUAACCUUUGAAAUGUGGCCCACAGCAGGGAUAGUUCCCAGUGCUGAAUAGAGUCCCCCAAAAAGCUAUGUAAAGGGCCCCAUUAAAAUAUUAACUUGCCACUGGGUAGUCUGUAUCCAUUUGCUUGAAGAAAUGGCCACAAUGCAGAAAACAUGGGGGACUUUUUGGUACAGUGGUAGCUUGGGUUACAGAUGCUUCAGGUUACAGACGCUUCAGGUUACAGACUCUGCUAACCCAGAAAUAGUACCUCGGGUUAAGAACUUUGCUUCAGGAUGAGAACAGACAUUGUGCGGUGGCAGUGGGAGGCCCCAUUAGCUAAAGUGGUACCUCAGGUUAAGAACAGUUUCAGGUUAAGAAUGAACCUCCAGAAUGAAUUAAGUUCUUAACCUGAGGUACCACUGUACAUGGGAUCACAAAUUAAUGCUUCGCUCUGCUUUUGUUUCAACUAGUCAGACGUAAGGGAGCGAGUAGCAACUGUCUCCAAAAUGUGCAAUGGUUAACACUUGUAUCUCUGUGUGGUGUUAUUUCCUGCCCUGCGCAGGGAUUUCAAGUGGAAUGAAACUUUUCUAGAAGAGAAUAGGCAGAGUUCAUUGAAAUGCAUCAGAGCUCCUUGGGACUUUCACAGUGUUUCACACUAAGUGGGUUCCGCUACUCUUGAUAUCUUUCAUCUUCCCUCUGCCAACCCCUAUCUAAUUGUCAAGUGCUCAGAGAUUCCCAUCAUCAGUGGCUGAGUCUGCUUUGUCACAUUGCUGAAGUUCGUAAAUCACUUUGCUGCAGGCCUGAUAGAUGAGACCCUCCUUAACACUUGGGAGAAUAUGUUCUCCCAUUAUCAAUUAUGAAGAAAAAUGUAGGAAGCUCGUUGUAAAGAACAAGCUGACAUAACUUGCAGGCAACCAGGCUGAAUGCAGGCCAUCAGUAGGGACGGGGCAGUGGUGGAAUGGAUUCAGUUCACAUUUAAAGGUGAACCGGCCUAUUUUGCACUUUCUGAAGCAAUAUGUGACCUGAAACACAGCCAUCCUUGCACAUUUACAGUUCCCAGUGCGCAAAAUGCAUAUACUAAGCGCAGGGUUUCCCAAAUUUGUGUCUCUGUCUCUUGUUGGACUACAACGCCCAUCAUCCCUAGCUAGCAGGACCCAUGCUGAGGGAUCAUGGGAAUUGUAAUCCAAAACAUCUGGAGAACCAAGUUUGGGAAACCCUGGACUAGGGCAAAGUGUGCAGAAGAGAUUUAUUAUAUAUGGAGAAAUUUUAUAUGGAGAAAUUUUAGAUUUUACUUUCUUGGGCUUCCUUGAUCACGGCAGAUGGUGACAGAAGUCACAAAAUUAAAAGACUCCUGCUUCUUGGGAGAAAAGUGAUGACAAAUGUAGACAGCAUCUUAAAAAGUAGAGAUAUCACCUUGCCGACAAAGGUCUGUAUAGUUAAAGAUAUGGUUUCCCUAGUAGCAAUGCAUGGAAGUGAGAGCUGGACCAUAAAGAAGGCUGAUCACCGAAGAAUUGAUGCUUUUGAAUUAUGAUGCUGGAGGAGACUCUUGAGAGUCCCGUGGACUGCAAGAAGAUCAAACUUAUCCAUUCUGAAGGAAAUCAGCCAGGAGUGCUCACUGGAAGGACAGAUCCUGAAGCUUAGGUGCCAAUACUUUGGCCACCUCAUGAGAAGAGAAGACUCCCUGGAAAAGACCCUGAUGUUGGGAAAGAUUGAGAGCACAAGGAGAAGGGGACGACAGAGGAUGAGAUGGUUGGACAGUGUUCUCAAAACUACCAACAUGAGUUUGACCAAACUGCGGGAGGCAGUGGAAGACAGGAGUGCCUGGCGUGCUCUGGUCCAUGGAGUCACAAAGAGUUGGACAUGACUAAACAACAAAUAUGGAGAAAUGGUUUUGCAGAAAUAUGUCUAGAAGGCAGAACUGCAUUGAAAUGUGUACAAUGGGAGUAAUGUGCACUAAAAUGCGGAUGAUUUUUUGUGAGGCAUUUAAAAUUGCAAAUGGAUGUGGAAAUGUGGAGAACUGAAUCUAAAAGUGGAAAUAUGAGGAACCAAGGGGAACCAUAAUGGACAGAUGUGUCCAUCGCUAGCCACCAGCCAGGUAAGACAUCCAAGGACCCAUUUAACAUCCUGUGCUUGGCGCUCUCCUAGGACUGUAGCAACAGUCCUUUUCUGCAGAGAAAUGGUGAAUGCAGCAGCUAGUGGGGCCUGGGAAGCAAUGGAGAGAUGCUGGCAUCUUUUUGAAGUGCAAAGAAAGGGGGAGGGAAAGUAGAAGCAUCAGGAACCAAAGGAAAGACACCAUUCUUUUUAAGAGGAAGAAGAAGGUGGAAAAGCCUUGCCCAGCUCAUAAACUUUACUGAGAUAAGUAUAGCAACCCUCGCUCCCACCCCAAAAUCAGAAUAAUUCAUUCUACUGAUUUUGCUUACCUGUGUUUAUGGUGUUUUACAUUUUUAUAUUACUGUACAUCACAAUGGUAUGUUGGAUGAAGUGGCAGCAUGCAAAUACUUUUAUACAUAAAUUGAUAUAUAAACAAUUCUCCCACCCACUCCCAGCUCAAAAUUGUCAGGAACUCACCCUGCUCCCAUUUUUGUGGAGGGUCAAGGUUCCCACAACAAUGGGGUGUGAGUUUCAAGUCCACCUUUGUGUUCUAUGUUUUACUCCUCACAAAAUGAGGUAGAAGAAAUAUUAUCUGUGUCUAAAACAAAUAUUGACAAUUUCCUUCUUGGUUGACUAACAUGGUAGAAAUCUUUUUUUUUUUUAAAUGAUUUUAUUGGUUUUGCAGAUUUUCCAAAUUUCGCCAUCAUAAUACAUAAUACAUACCUUACUUCUUUUAACCUUAAUACUUUAACUCUAAAUGAAUUUGUACUUCCCUCCCACCUUCUUCUGCUUUCUCUAUAUUUUCUUUAUAUGUAUGCAUUUGUCAUGUUUACAUUCUAUGCGUACUUAAUACUAUGGAAUAAUACUAUUCAAAAUUUCAUUAAUGUACAGCCUUCAAUUGUUGUAAUAUGUUUGUUCAAUAUUCUUAAAUCCAAAAUGAAUCAUUUUUAAUAAACAUUAUGAGGUCUAUUUCAGUCCCGCGAGUGUCUUUAUUUGCGUAUAGUUCUUUUCUAUGUAUGUUGUAAAUUUCAUCCAAUCUCUUUGGAAUGCUUCGUCGCCCUGAAAUACCCACAGCUGAAGAAUGGCAGCAGAAACCCAUAGAAUACGCAGAAAUAGCAAAAUUGACUGGAAAAAUCAAUUUUGGUCUGUGUUUUGAUGAUGAUAGUAGUAGUAGUAGUAGUAGUAGUAGUAAUUUAUUUAUACCCUGUCCAUCCGGCCAGGUUUCCCCAGCCACUCUGGGCAGCUCCCAACAGAUUAAAAACAGAAUAAAACAUCAAACAAUAAAAACUUCCCUAAACAAGGCUGCCUUCAGAUGUCUUCUAAAAGUCAGAUAGCUGUUUAAGAUAAAAGAGUUUUCCCCUCAAGCCCUUGGAGUCAAUCCUGGUUCCUCCUAAAUAUGAUGCCUUGCAAGCACUGAGGAAAACCCACAUGUAUAAUAAUAAUAAUAAUAAUAAUAAUAAUAAUAAUUUAUUAUAUAUACCCCGCCCAUCUGGCUGGGUUUCCCCAGCCACUCUGGGCGGCUUCCAAAAGAAUAUUAAAAUACUGUGAUACAUCAAACAUUAAAAGCUUCCCUAAACAGGGCUGCCUUCAGAUGUCUUCUAAAAGUCUGGUAGUUGUUGUUCUCUUUGACAUCUGGUGGGAGGGCGUUUCACAGGGAGGGUGCCACUACCGAGAAGGCCCUCUGCCUGGUUCCCUGUAACUUGGCUUCUCGCAGUGAGGGAACCGCCAGAAGGCCCUUGGUGCUGGACCUCAGUGUCUGGGUAGAACGAUGGGGGUGGAGACGCUCCUUCAGGUAUACUGGACCGAGGCCAUUUAGGGCUUUAAAGGUCAGCACCAACACUUUGAAUUGUGCUCAGAAACGUACUGGGAGCCAAUGUAGGUCUUUCAAGACCGGUGUUAUAUGGUCUCGGCGGCCGCUCCCAGUCACCAGUCUGGCUGCUGCAUUCUGGAUUAGUUGUAGUUUCCGGGUCACCUUCAAAGGUAGCCCCACGUAGAGCGCAUUGCAGUAGUCCAAGCGGGAGAUAACCAGAGCAUGCACCACUCUGGCGAGGCAGUCCGCGGGCAGAUAGGGUCUCAGCCUAUGUACCAGAUGGAGCUGGUACAUUCAGUUAUGUACUUGAAUGCAUAACUGAAUUCACAUUCUAGCGCCUUUCACCCCAACAUGGUGCUUUCCAGAUGCUGUUGUCCUCCCACGAGCUCCAGCCAGCAGGGUCAUUGGUAGAAAUGCUGGGAGAUGUAGUUGAAAACAUCUGGAGGGCACUAGGUUGGGGAACACUGCUCUGGGAUCUAACACCUUGAUCUAACACCAAGCAGUUGUCGCUGGUGCCCAUUGGGACCGGUGAAGCUGAAGGCAGGGAGAUGAACAGUAAAUGGAGCCAGCUAAUCCAAGUUUUGUCUCCAACGUCAUCCCUGUUGAAUUCUACAAGCACAACAAUGAGAUUAAGGAGGAAGAAGCUGACAGACAGCACCAUCCCAUAGGCUGGCUGUAUGUAAGGAGGCAGGCAGGCAGAGCUGGCUGAGAGCAGACUGCGGUUGGUCCAGCAGUGGCCCAUUUGGCCAAACUGACCAGCAUCUACUGACUACUGGUGUUUCUGUUCUUGCAUGCUGUUUGGGAGUCUAUAGGCCUGUUCAAGGAUCUUUCACAAUUUUGCAUUGUUUCUCCAGGCUCAUAUGUAGCAAGCAGCCUUCUCUCCCCGAAGUCUCUUUGAAUGUUGAUGUGCCUCUGCCAGUUUAAUAAGGCAUGGAUAUCCUUGCAAUUGCCUUGUGUCAACGUACCUGUUACACGGCUUAAUGGCCCAUGAGGAAAAAAAGGAAGGAAGGGGGGAGUGAAAAUGGCAGUACAUUGGUGGGGCUAAGGAUAAUGAGCUACCAAUUACUGCCGAAGAACACAGCCGCAGAAAUAUAGUAAUUAAAUGUUCUGUCUUGUUAAAUUAAUUGAUCACAAUGGGAAACAGGCACUCUGAAAAUGGUGCACUGUAAUAUCUUAUUAAAGAAGCCCUUCUAAAACAAGUCACAUUUGCAUGUGGCUAGCACUGCCUUUUGGUGUGAUUAUCGCAAAAGGCUUCCCUUCUGGAAAGAAUUAUGCAGCUCAAUUGGGGACUAUACCAUCUCUCCUUUUUGCCUGCUAGGCCAUAUUAUCCUUUCCUACUUUUCUCUCAGAGACAGGCCUGUGCAAGAAGACUCAGAGCUCAUCUUUCAGAUAUAUUUUCGCUGCCAAGACCCAGCUUUGGGAACGCGUUAAGGAACAAAGGUCAUUCCCCUCACCAUUGAAUAACAAAAACCAUUUUCAAACACCAUAGGAAUAGAGGGCUGGGCUUUUGAGCCUGGGAAUGUGGCUCGCAGACAAGUUUGUAUUUCAGUACUUGCGUUUUUACAGAAGUAAUUACGAUUCACAAAAUGGCUGAGGCAGCAGUAACUAUUACAGGCACUCCUAUGGAUUUGGUUGUGACCAGUGCUCCUCUUGCAUGGAAAUAUUACGCGUUUUGAUGAAGGUGAUGAGAUUAUGAGGAGCUGUCGAUCUGUUUGCUCUUCAGUUAAAGCCCAAUGCAGCUUAAAUCCAACAAAUGUUUACUCCUGAAACUGAAGAUAUGACUAUCUCUGAGAGAGGGAAAAGAAGAACAUGUCAUGCCUCUCAGUCAUCAGUAUCAGGUCUUUAGCCGUUGCAGCUGACUGACUUUUCAAAGAAGCAUUUUGCUGUGGUUCCACCACCAUCACCACCAGCAAAAGCCAUUCUCAAGAUGACUUCUGUUGAGGCAAGGAAGAAGGGCUACCCUUAUGCAAUUCAUAUAAUCAGUUAUCAGUAAUCAAUAUAUCCGUAUAUGCUCACACAUAAUCAGGGCUUACAGUAUUUUAUAAUCCAUUUUGAAUCAAAGGGAAGCUGUGCCUUAGCUAACUGCAAACUGCUUGGAACAGCAAAAUUAGGAGCCGACCUUUCCCCUACAAACAUCCGUGUACCCUGGACAAGGGGAAGACGUGAAUCAGAGAUACUGGUACAAAAUCCCCUCAGAUACAGGCUAAAUUAAUCCACAGAACAGGAAGAGCAAACCACAAAAUCUCCAAUAUUCCCUGUCCUGUCAUAACUAGGGGAGAGGUUAGACAGAGCAUCACUGCAAGCAGCGGAAAGCAGAACUAGAACUCCAUGCUUGACCAGUGCUUGACCAGGAGCUGGAAGCAUGGCAAGAAGCUUGCUAAUUGGCUAAUUUUCGCUGGCAAUAUCGUGACUGCCUCAUGGUUGUCUCAUGAUCUAUGAUUUGCUGUGAUCUGCUCAGGUAUAAAGACCUCUGGAUUUCUGUCAAUCGGGGUCCCAGUUCCUUUUGGAAGAGAUUCCAAACUGGGUCCUGGCAAUAAACUUCACCUUCUUAUUCUCCAUUGCUGUGUCUGCCUGAUCCUUAUUAACGCCAAGCGAGUACCUGCUUGCGUUCACGUGCUUCACUGUCAGAAGCAUCACCAUCAUCUUCAGCAUCUUCUACUUGGUUUCUUUGCAAAGAUACCUGGGACUUCUAAGCAUCAGACAGUAGGUAGUGAGGGACUUUGAAUUCCUUCUAGGAAUUGUUGAAAUGUGAGCAAAAGUUGUGAUGCUAUGCACAGUUACAUGGCAGAAAGCCCAGUGGACUCAAGGAGACUUCCAUCCAAGUAAGGCAGGGGUGGGAAACAUCAGACUGAGGAGCAAAAUGCAGCCCUCCAGGCCUUUCUAUCUGGCCUUAUUACUCUUAGUAUCAUAGAGUCAGAGAAUUGUUCAGUUAGAAAGGACCCUGUGGGUCAUCUGUUCCAAUCCUCUUCAAUGCAGGAAUCUCAACUAAAGCAUCCACGACAGAUGGCCAUCCUGUCAGCAUGCGGAGGACCGGCAGGCCAGCUGGCUAGCCCCAGAUGAGCUAUUCCCUUCCAGUCGUCCCACUGCCCAAUGUAUAUCAGUGACCCGGGCUUCAAAGCCAGGGCACACUAUCAGCAGAGCGAACUGUGCACACAGAAUAGGCAUGAGGCUUGUGGAAGCAUACUACAACUACAGAUUUAGUAAUCAUAAAUCAGGACAAAAAAACAUGUUCUCUCUCUCUUGUCUUCUCAGAGAGAACAGGAAAAGCAGAAGCUAUACACAACGGAAGUUCCCAGCAAGUUGUGCUGGAAUGUAAACAGACAUGUGACAAUCAACAGUUCCACACGUCUGCUCCUUAAGGUGGAAUGGAAGUGUCAACACAUCCAACCUCUACUUAAAAAAAACCCCAAGGGAGCUGUCAAACAGCUAUUACUGUCAGAAUGUUCUUACUGGUGUUUCAUCAGAAUCUCCUUUCUUGUAACUUGAAUCCAUUGCUACGGGUUCUGCCCUCCGGAGCAGGCAAAAGCAAGCUUGCUCAAUCUUCCAUCUGUCUCCCGUGUAGCAGCAACAGGCUUUAAGCUUCCCAGCCACGCCUCUACCAUUCUGCCCGGAUACUGAGGUCCCACACCAAGGGCCUUCUGGUCAUUCUCUCACCACGAAAAGUGAAGUUACAGGGAACCAGGCAGAGAGCCUUCUCGGUAGUGGCACCUGCCCUGUGGAAUGCCCUCCCACCAGAUGUCAAAGAAAUAAACAACUAUCUAACUUUUAGAAGACAUCUGAAGGCAGCCCUGUUUAGGGAAGCUUUCAAUAUUUGAUGAAUUAUUGUAUUUUAAUAUUUUGCUGGAAGCCGCCUAGAGUGGCUGGGGAAACCCAGCCAGAUGGGCAGGGUAUAAAUAAUAAUAAUAAUAAUUAUUAUUAUUAUUAUUAUUAUUCAUGCACAGGCAUUUGUGUGAGGGCCCUUCUUAGCUGCCCCAGCCACCCUCCUCUGUCUAAGAGAAUGUGGGAGAUGGGGGAGUAUUUAUUUGACCUACACCAGGGGUGACCCGCAAACUAGCUAGGGAGACAGCUUGCCGUAGUUUUAAGCACCCCUGGGGAGGGGGGACAUGGCAGUUAUGGCACAUAUAGAUGAGAAAGUGAGGAGACAUGAGACUGAAAUGAAUGAGUGGGGAAUAUACCAGCCAAAACAUUGCCUGCAAAUCUUUAGUUUUCCGUGUUGCUAUAACAAGGCAAGAAUACAAAUUAGGGAUGUGCGUGAGACACACACAGAGAGAGAGAGAGAGAAAUAUAAGAUUUACAUCCUGCUCUGGAGUGCAGUCUCACUCAAAAUUCAGUGGUGGUUUCCACGCCAGGAUCUCUUUCAGGCACCCCGACAGGAUGAAAAGCUGUCAGAGAUUGAUUCUCACAUGUUGCUGCGGACAGAACAAAAAGUAAUUGGCUUUAAGAUGCAGCAGAGAAAAAUAUAAGUUAAUUUUGGAGAAAAUGGAACAAGCUGGCAAGAGAGGAUGUGUUAUCACCUCUGCUGGAAAUAUUCAAGGCUAGGCUACUCUAUGAAGGACUCCCAUGGGACGAUGAAAUCAAUUCUGCCAGGAUGCUGUGGAACGCACUGCACAUCCUUCCGACUCCUAAUGAUUCAGCUGAGGAAUGUGACGUGCUCUACAGAAAAAGGCACAAUGUACAAAGCAUAGUGGAAUUGUGUUUUUUGUUUAAAUGCCAGCCACUUCUGUCUUGCUAUGAAAUGGGUAAGAAUGGGCAAAUCUGUCAAUACUGACUUCACUCAGGUUCUCAUCUACCCCCCCACCGCCGCCACAAUCUUAAAUUCAGUUCUGCACAUUUCUACAGGAGUUUGUGAUUGUCCCCAUGAAAAUUCAUCAAUAUGCACAUUUCCCUAUGCAUUUUUGCCAAAUACUCACAUUUUUGCAAAACAGUUUCCCCUAAUAUAACAUAUUUUUGCAUGUUAUUUUCGCUAAUAUAUUCAUUUUGUGCACACUAGUAUAUUCCAUUUUUUUGCUCACAAUAUUUGGCCGUCAAAAUUGAGAAAAAUGUGAAUCUUGAAGGAUGGCUAGCCUUCCUCCCAGAAAAAUGCUAAAAUAUUUUUGAGCUUGUUUAAUCCACCACCGCUAGGUUCAGCUAUUGGGAAGAUUCCAAUGAACCCUAAAGCAGGGUAGUAGGAUCCCUGUUAGAAAGGUUGGGACCAUGUUACAUAUCACAAAAAGCUACAUACUGCUUCCAGGGUUAUAAUUUCCCUGCUCAGAGACAAUCUCUACGCUGGUGUCUACUUCAAUGUAAGGAAGUGCUGCACAUACGUUCUCAUGUGGUUAGUACACCAAUUGGUUAGCCAGUGUAUUUAAUAGUAGUUUGAUAGUUGUGGUAUGAAAAAGGCUUGUACCUUACUUCACAUUUGGUCUUUAACGCUUCUGUUCCUACUCAGAAAUCUUUUCUGGGGAGAUAAUAAGAUAAGGAAGUCCCUGGAGGUAUGGAUAUGAUAGGGAGCCAGUAUGGUGUAGUGGUUAAGAGCGGUGGACUCAUAAUCUGGUGAACCGAGUUCACUUCCCCGCUACUCCACCUGCAGCUGCUGGGUGAACUUGGCUAGUCACACUUCUCUGAAGUCUCUCAGCCUCACUCACCUCACAGAGUGCUAGUUGUGGGGGAGGAAGGGAAAGGAGAAUGUUAGCCGCUUUGAGACUCCUGAAGGGGAGUGAAAGGCGGGAUAUCAAAUACAAAACUCUCUCUCUACCAUAAGAUUAGUGAUCUUUUUCUAGAAAAAGAGGUGCCAGAACUCACCAUAACCCACCCUUCUCUUAAAAUGGAAAUGGACAGGUGCAAGAACUGGGUUCUGAUGAGUCUGGCUGAAAAAAAGCCCUUCAUAAGAUCAUAGGGAGAGCCCUGCUAGAAUAGGUUGAAGGCUCAUCUAGUCCAUUUUCAUGUUCUAUUUUUUUUUAUUAACAAAUUUUAUUAGUAUUUUCCACACAACAACAACAACAACAAAAUAUCAAAAAUAACAAUACACAAAAACCAACAUACAAACCCCCCCCCACAAAUCCAUAUCUUACAAGUUAGUAAUAUAAACACUAAAAAGAAAAACAAACAUUGACUUCCACCAAUCCCACAACACCUCCUUUACCUCUCAUUGUGUCUUCCUGUUUCCCUGUUUUCCUUAUCAUCCCUAUCCUAGCAUCUAGAUAUAAAUCCCUCUUUCUUAUCCUUUCAGUUCACAAGGUUAUUACAGACUCAGCCAGAUCUCUGUCCUCGAACCUUGGCUUUUAAGGUAUUCAUUUAGACACCCCCAUUCCUUUUUCACUUCACUUUUUGUUUUUUGUCUUAUUAUAUCUGUCAAUUUGGCUAAUUCUAAAUAUUCUGAAAACUUACAUAACCAUUCUCCCCUAGUGGGUAACUGAUUCCCUUUCCCAUUUUCUUGUUCUAACAGUGGCCAACCAGAUGCCUAAGGGAUGCUUAGAAGCUGGACCUGAAUGCAAAAGCACUUUUCCCACCUGUGAUACCCCACAACUGGUAUACAAAGGCGUAUUGCCUCCAACACUGAGGAGGCAUAGUCAUCAUGACCAGCGGCCAAGCUUUGACUUUGGUAUGGUCAAGGCUUCUCUCAAUGAUUUGGUUAAGUCCCUACCUGUAUUCACUGUAUACAUACGAUUCUGUAUCAUCUGACCCGUCUACUGCAAUUAUUAAGUUUGCAGAUGACACCACCAUAAUGGGUUUAAUAACAGGUGGAGACGAAUCAUCGUAUAGAGGGGAGGUCCAAAAAAUAUCUACAUGGUGCCUAGGGAAGAACUUGCACAUUAAUAUCAGCAAGACAAAGGAGAUGGUGUUGGACUUUCGGAGGAAGACAGCGCGGAAGAAUGUUGCCUCAGGAGAGUGAGGAAAAUUCCCAGGGAUUAUUCACACCCUGGCCAGCACUUUCUUGAUCUCCUGCCCUCUGGCAGAAGAUAUAGAAGCAUGAUUAGUCACACCAACAGGGUAAAGAACAGCUUCUAUCCGUGGGCUGUUAGACUGCUGAAUGAAAAGAUAACAACAGGGCAACUGACUUUCGGGUUUGGUGGGUGUGCGUCAGUAAACGAGGGGAAUUAAGACUAAGAGAGCUGAGUGGGGGGUGCUCGUGUAAUCUCACUGUAUACAAGUUGUACAAGUGACAAUAAAGUAUUUCAAUAUUCAAAUAACAUUACCAGGAGUAGAGUUAGGAAGCACAUGGCAAUACUAGACAAACAUUCUAUUAGGUGUUCGGGCAGGAUCUACAUAGCCAUGCAGAAUGUUCUACAUACCCCAGAAUGUUUUGAGAUUCCUUUUCUCAAACAGCAUCCCUCACCAGCUGCACCUGCCAGCUGGAAGCCUACCUUUGAAAGUAAGGGGGCUUUCAAAAGCAGGUUGCGAGAUGUCAAGUUCAAAGGGCAGGAGCCCAAAAUCCCAUGGACACGCCUUAGGUUUCUUUUUGGACCCACCUGGUAUCACUGCUCAUAAUCCAGACAUUCUAUGCCAUUGGUUAAUAUCACUUUGGGGAAAUGCGAGUAAAGGAUUUCAUGUCACUGACAAAUUUUACCUGAAUUGAUUUCUCUUCUCUAAGCUGUGUGGAAAUAAUAUUAUGCGGUAUAAUCGUAGCGUUUGUGUCUGCCCCUCCCCAAUGCAUUGAGAGACCCGCAAGUCUUAAAAUGAUGAUAAUUAUUAAGGACAUUAUUUCUGUGGAAUGGAAACAGCAUGAAAAUACACACUGAGCCUAAUGAUAGCACAAUCAAUUAGUGCUUAACUCAUCUCUGACUAUAUUUAGUAGAAGUUUUUUUUUUUUAAUAUAGUGUUUAUUUUCUUGAGGGUGGUUGCAGUUGAUUUUUUUUCCUGGUUCUGUUGCGUGCUCUCAUUUUCUCUUCUGGAACCCCGCUGCUGUAAACAUUAACUUGUCUCUUAAUGCUUCCUAGAAGCACACUGACUUAACAGAAAAUGAAAACAAAUCUUCCAUUCUCACUUGAGCAAACUCACCCUUGCGCUUUUUGAAAAAACAGAGACUUAGGCAGAAGCCAUAACUUAUAUAUACAUACACAAGCCAUUUCCUAACCUUCUGCCCCAUUGUAGCAUUUCCCUAAACCAGGAAUGGGGCAAUAGCAAUAGUCCUGUUUGGUGAAUGUGCAUUAAAGUAAAAGAUGUAGUUCAGUAUAGUAAGUGCAAAAUCAUGCACAUGGAAGCAAAAAAUCCUAACUUCACAUAUACACUGGUGGCAUUUGAGCUGGUGGUGACAGACCAGGAAAGGAAUCUUGUAGUCAUAGUGGACCCAGCGUAUGGUCUGAAAGCACAUGAAGCCACUCCAUUCUUGAGGCUUAGCAGGUCUGGGUCUGGUCAGUACCUGUAUAGGUGAGCACCUGGGAAACAUAAGGGGUUCUAUGACAGAAGAAAAGUGGGGUAGUCAUUUAUUUAAAGGUAAAAGGACCCCUGACCAUUAGGUCCAGUUGUGGCCGACUCUGAGGUUGUGGAGCUCAUCUCGUUUUAUUGGCCGAGGGAGCCGGCGUACAGCUUCCAGGUCAUGUGGCCAGCAUGACUAAGCUGCUUCUGGUGAACCAGAGCAGCGCAUGGAAACGCCGUUUACCUUCCCACCGGAACCUAUUUAUCUACUUGCACUUUGACGUGCUUUCAAACUGCUAUGUUGGCAGGAGCAGGGACCGAGCAAUGGGCGCUCACCCCGUCGCAAGGAUUCGAACCGCCAACCGUCUGAUCAGCAAGUCCUAGGCUCUGUGGUUUAACCCACAGUGCCACCCUAGUUAUUUAUUUACAACAUUGAUAAACCACAUAUUUUUAAAAACCCUCUAAAAUGAUAAACAAUAUCAUUACAACAAAAAUCUAACAUAAAAUCAGUAGUGUAAAAACACGUAACAGCAUAUAAAACCAAAUAAAAUGAUUUUUUUGGAAUUUAAACACAUAAAACAGGGUUCACUCUUAAUUUGUGAGCUCCUUCCUGUGACAAACCAAGAGAAAUGUAAGGGAAAUUGACCCGUUGAAGAACCCAGAGCAGAAAACUAAGACUACAAACAGGGCUUUUUUCAGCCAGAAAAAGGGUGGGUGCCACUGCCAUUACCAGAGAACAAGUGAGGCAUUCAUGGUGAGGUCUGGCACCUCUUUAACUAGAAAAAAUAGUAUUGACUACAAACAACAAAUACCUAAAAACAAGUUGACCUUAAACCUGUAAUCCAGUGCCCCUAAGAUAACGAUACUGCAUCUAACCUGUGCAAAAGCAGUGUUAUCUGCCUUCAAAUGCCACAAAAAGGUAGUAAAAUUGCUUGAACUUAGCACUGCCACCUGCCAUCAAUUACACCUGGCACCUGCUCUUCUGCAUGUCAACCAGGUAUGGAAAAGGAAGGAUGCAGAGCCACCGUCAAACUAUAAUGCAGUGAAUGAUGGCCACUGAGUGAAUUUGAUAAGGAAAAGGAGACUAAAGAAUAGCAGAAUUAGAAAGUCAAGGGCAGAAAAGAACAGACUGGUGAAGACAUUAAGAGAUGAAAGAGAACAUCCAUCAAAGCCAUGAGUCUUGGGAGCUGGCAAUACGAAACCUUCUUGAAUAUGUCUGAAUCAUCCACUCAAAGACAGGAGGCAGUGAUGGUGUGAACAGUACUCUAUGUGGAUGCAGAAAGAGUAAGAAGAAUAAAGAAGGUUAGAGAGGGGAGGGGGAGUAAAGUAAAAGGUUUAUGGAGAAAUUACUCGGUCUUUUUUUGCGCUUCCAUAAUAAUUAUCAGCCAUUCAUGACAACAUGUUGUCUGGAGAGAGAAGUCAUCAGAAACAUCUUGAGGGGGUAAAAAUUACACCGAUUUCAAUCAUGGUGCUAAUCAUAAAGUAAUUAUCAUUUCUGAGACUGGCAUAAGAAUGAUCAUUAGCUAGGUAUUAAACUGCAAUCAUCUGUCUCAAAAAUCUAAUAAAGAAUCUGUUUGAUCAAUAUUCAGAGCCAUUAGCCAGGCUGACAAGUCUGUUUCCCUUAUUUUUUAGUUUCAGAAGCAAGCUCUUCCUUUGCAUCCACAUGAUGUCUUCUUCUUCUUUUUAAAAAAGAUGAUUUUGGUCUUUAAUUAACCUAAACUUGGUAGGAAAUACAAAAGAAGGAAAGAAAUCAGGUGCAUCAAAAUUGUUCCCUGAAAGAGAUACAGAUUUCCCCCCAUAGGACAAGAUUUUUUAUUGUCUGAAUGUGGGAGUAGUUUUUCUUAUUCCACUAUUUUUACAAAUUGUGUGUGGAUUAUUAUUAUUUGAAAAAAAAAAGUAUAGUGCAAUUGGGGGCUCUGGCUGAUUUGGUUGUCAUUCUUUGACAGAGAUCUUGAAAGUGUAAGAAUUUUAAUCUCUGGGUUGUGGGUUUGAGCCUCACAAUGGGCAAAGUAUGCUUGCAUUGCCGGGCUUAAACUCAAUGACCCUCGUGGUCCCUUCCGUUCUAUGAUUUUAUAAUGAUUGGGAACAGCAGAGGUCAAUAGUUAUGACGGUUGUGGGAAAGGCUGCAAAGCUAAAAUGGACAUAUGCAGAGCAUAUGGCAAGAGAUGACUUGUGUCAAUGAAAUAAAGCAGUGCUAGUGUGGAGACCCUACAAUUUUAAAAGAUACAAAGGAUGACCGCCUAUGUGAUGGGUGGACAAUCUAAAACUAACAGCAGGAAUUAAAUGGAUGCAGCAACCCAACAUCAGAGCCACGUAGGUAGCUGUGUUGGUCUGACACAGUCAAAAUAAAUUAAAAAAAUUAAAAAAUUGUCCGAUAGCACCUUAGAGACCAACUAAGUUUGUUCUGGGUAUCAGCUUCCAUGUGCAUGCACACUUCUUCUGAUACACUGAAACAGAAGUCACCAAACCCUUAUAUAUAGUGGGAGGGUGGGGUGGGGUUUUUCUCAGAAGGGUAGUAGGAGAUGGGUGAUUGACUCAAUGGGUAUGGUAAACCUGUCAAUGUCUUUCUCAAGCUCUGGGAGGAAGAUCUUUCAUUGCCUACAGACAGCCACCCAAUCUUAAACAACUCCUCACCCACAAUAAUACAGUAACAUAGACACUGGUGCCAGAGCCUGCAAUAAACCCAGAUGCCAGCUUUGCUGCCACAUACACCCAGACAACACCACCACUGGACCCAACAACAUCAAACAUACCAUCUCAGGCCUAUUUAAUUGCUCAUCUUCUAACAUUGUAUAUGCCAUCAAAUGCUAGCAGUGCCCUUCAGCUCUCUAUAUUGGACAAACAGGCCAAACCCUAUGCCAAAGGAUAAAUGGACAUAAAUCUGACAUUAGGAAACACAAGACAGAGAAGCCACUCCAAUCUCCCAGGACAUUCAAUACAGGAUCUCAAAGCAGCUGUCUUAUUACAAACAAAUUUCAGAAAUAGACUUGAAAGAGAAGUUGCUAAAUUACAACUUAUUACUAAACUGAAAACUAUGGAGAGACCGGGUCUGAAUAGAGAUAUUGGAUUCUUGUAUCAUUACAUAUGCUAAAGCUAUUUUUGGUCAUCUGCAAACUAUCCCUUGCUUUUUCCUAUAGGACUAAUUGUUUGGACAAUUCUUCAAACAACAGAGAACAGUGGAGAGAACCUGAGGAAGCGUAUACCCAAGAAUGGAUGUGAGACUUAGACAUAGCUGUCAACUUACAGAUUUGAAAAUAAGGGAACAGCAGCCUUGAAAAUAAGGGGCCAGCAGCCAAAAUAAGGGACCUGCAGCCUCACCUGUUCCAGGCACUCCAGUCUUCCUGUCCUGCAGUCUGGUCAAACUCAUGCUGGUAGCUUCGAGAACACUGUCCAACCAACUUUGUAACCAGAGGUUCAACUGAAUAGAAUCUGAAUCACAUGCACCACAAGGCCUAUGCAGCCUCAACUUAAGAUGGCUCCCUGGCCUGGCUUUGCAGCAGCACGUGCAACAAAAUGGUGUUCAGCAUUCAAAAACCCCCUCAGCUUGCAUUAACUAGCCACACACAAGGCAUGCAAGCUCCACCCCCAAGUCGUUCUUAGACUUCUUAUUGGGUGAUCAACACGGCCAAGCAACACAGCUGGAGCCUCCUUCCUCUCUGGCCAGCAGGGAGGGAGGGAGAGGAGCUGCUUCCUUUGAAAUUUAAUGGACAUCAUUUAAGGGACAUUUAAGGGACAUCCAUCAAUAAGGGACAGCAGCAGGACAUGGCGCUGGAAUAAGGGACUGUCCCUUCAAAUAAGGGACACUUGACAGCUAUGGACUUAGAUGAAGAAGGAGGAGGAGGUAUCAAAAGUACUUUUUUUUCUUAUUUCAUCCAGGGAUUCAAAGGAUGCUUUUUACCAUGUGCUCAACAAAAGCAAUUGGAGUUGGGUUGGGGCUAUGAAGAUCAAUGCACAAAUAGACCCUUAAUGUGCUGAGUUGGUGAAGAGUUAAAAAUGAGAGGAGAGGUCAUCCGCUUUCCAAGGCAGCUCAGGAAGAAGAAUUCUGGGCUGCUUGUUUGUGCACUGGUCAGUUGUUCUUGCUUAGCCACAGGAAGGUACAAAAAUAAACACUGCUGCAUAUGAAGAACAGGAGAGACAUAACUGAAAAUUUCCCAGUAUUCAUGUGGUUGUUGGUUUCCUUCAUGCUGGAUUUCAGAAUCUUUCACAUGGGAGAACUGGAGGUUAAAAAGUCAAAAGCCAUAUCGUAACUCCUUUGCAAACAAACAAGAGUAUGUGUUGUAUUGUCAGCUCUGAUAUAAAAAGGCUCCAUUGCCCACCAAUGUUUUGCUUUGAGCUUGGUUCUCACUGGAGGAAAACAGAGAAAAGAGGCUGUGUUUGUAAAUGUUGGUGUGUGUGUGUAUGUGUGUGUGUGUGAACUGGUCUUGGUUAAGAUCUUUUAACAAAGACGUUAAAAAUAAUGACCAUUCUUGCCUCUUCCAUGCCUUAAUUCUGUCCCCCUAGACGUAAUGAAUUCGCAGAAGGAAAAGGAGUCGAAAGAAUAGCAGAAUUAGAAAGUCAAGGGCAGAAAAGAAUAGAUUGGUGAACACCUUAACAGAUGAAAGAGAGCAUCCAUCAAAGCCAUGAGUCUCCGGAGCUGGCAGUACGAAACCUUCUUGAAGAUGUCUGAAACAUCCACUCAAAGACAGGAGGCAGUGAUGUAAACAUUCCUCUAUGCGGACGUAGGUUUUAAUUCUGAUUUUCCCUCCAUCAUUUCAGAUUUCCCCAUCCAUGGCCCAUCCCUCACUCUCCAAA